rnacentral:lncRNA from 1 species
UUGGAUGUUCUUCAGAACUUGCUCCUCUGGAACAUAUAUCUUCUCAAGGGUUUUUCCAAUCUUCUUUUCCCAUAAGGAGACAAUUUCGUUGAAUGAGUAGGUGUUCUGAGGAGGCCUGAUGUAAAGGAUUUUGUUCAAGGUUCUAGGAUCAUCCGCAGCUUUAAUGGUAUAGGUGCCAAUGUCAUCCUCCUUGUUAAAAACAGCUGGAGAUGCAAAAAUGAAAUGAGUAAAAUAGAGUAGAAUCAUCUUCCUAUUCCUUCAAGCUUGGACUACUCCGUAAUUCCACUUUUUUUGUUUACAGAACACAAACUUGAAAUUAUUUUGAUAUGAAACCAAGUUAUUGUUUUCAUUUAAUGCUCAUGUCAAAAACUCUCAGCUGGAGAGCAACCCAAGAGGACUGUCAAUAUAAAAAAAGAGGCUUUAGCCCAUCCAGUUCAGAUAAUAAUGAUUAAUUACUAGAAGUGCACAAUGGUUCCUCAGUUUGACCACUCCAGGUCACAUGGAUCAUGCUAGUUUCCUGUAUUAUGGCUCAAUUGCAAUGUAGCACCCAAGCAGUCAACCUCAACUGUCGGAAGGUUUUGUUUCUGGGUGAACGGGUUUAACCAGCUGGGGAAAGGGGGAGUGGGGUGGGGUUGUCCAGGUUUCAAAUAGCCACAUUCUGAUUUUCAGGAAUAUAGACCAUUCUCACCUCAACAACGCUGGCAACCCCAUCAAUUUUUUUGCCUGGAGAAGGAUAAUAUGCAGCUAUUGGUUGGUGAAAUGGUAAAUUACACUCUCAAAAGGAUUCCAUGCUCAUCUACAUAACCCGCUGAUUAGUAUUACUUUUUAAGCCCACUAUCAUCAGAUGUCACUGAUACAUGGACCGGUGCAUUCUAACAUCAAAACGAGAAAAUGCAAUGGGAAAUUAAGUUGUAUGAUUUUCAGAGGUUGCUUACCUUUUGGAUUCCCAUCUCCUAAAAUAAUAACUUUAUCCCUGGGGGGAGCGGUGGCUCCAGGCUGUGAAAAUGUAGGAAGGAAAAAGCCAGCAAAUGUGUUGGAGGACACAUAGGUGUAGGGAAUUCCUUCAGCCUCAAUAGUGCGGCGGAUUUGAGCCUUUAUCUCAAAGGCUGUUUUUGCUGGCUCAACCGCAUGUACACGGUCCACAUCAUUUCCAAACUCUGAUGGGAAGAAUCUCUGGAUGAAAUAAAGCACUUUAAGAAGAAGCUGUAUAACUCAAUAGAUUGAAAAACGGGUCAUAUCUAUUUAGUCAUAUUAGCUCACGACAGGGAUCCUAUAUGGGAUACACUUUGACGAACUUGAUACAAGUGUUCAGCAACCAUAAAGACAUACAAUUAGCAAUUCAAACGAUGGAAGGAAAGAGUGCACUGAUCAGGAUUCUUAAAAAGUGAAAGAAAAAACCAUGUAAGAAAUGUGAAAAAAAAAACUACCAAACUUCAUUCAUAGAAGGAAAAUGCGCACUAAUCAGGAUGCUUAGAAGAUGGAAGAAUAAAAACUAAAUGAAAACAGGAGAAAAAAAAAAAAAAAAACUUCAUUCUUGUUUAGUUGUCUUGCUGCUUUUUGAAGCCUUUUGUAUACCAUUUGUCUACAUUGGGUGUGCUGUCUUUUUUUGUUAGGCGCUUCUCUGUUAAUAUAGUUUGUUUUUAGCCUAUCAAAAAAAGGGGGGGGGGGGGGUGGUGGUUGUGGGUGUAUACAAUGGAUUGGAAGUGGUAUAGCAUGCCCCAUGAAAGGGAAUUAGUAUUUAAAAUUUUUUCCUUUUUACAUCAAAAAUUAAGAUUGACUUUAAAGCAUCGAUCCAACCUGAGUCAAUGCACAUGGAUCUAGACAAGAAUCAAGAUUGUUGAUCCUCAAUGAAUAUUGUAUAUAUGGAAUGUUCUUUCAUGCACUUCCAACAUUUCUAAAGAAGGUAUUAUUACAUUAUGCACAAAGGAUAAAGAUAUCACCAACAAAUUAUAACAAAUUCCAAUAAUAAAUAUCAUAGUACUCGGAUUUGCAAAGAAAAGAGGGAAUUAGAAAGAAGAAAAGGAGAAAAGGAGAGAAAUUUCGUCAAUUUGGACAACUUUACCUUGACAUUUCCAGCUUCUUUGAUGGCAGCAAUGAUCUUGACUUGAUCCGACAACUGUGCGCGACCAACGGUCGAGAUGACCACAUCCACUAGAUUAAUCGCCUUCACCAAACUCUCGUGAUCGUAUAGAUCACCCUGCAACAUAACAUAACCAAUCAAUAAACUAUUUCAUAACCCUAAUUCCCCAGUUAAGAAGUAAGAAUCCAAAAGCAGGUGUGUUUUUUCACUUUACUGAAACCAAAAUAACUUAAAACAUAAACAUCCGAACUUUUCUUUUCCUGAGGAUCGCCACUUUUUUCUUUCUGGAUGAAUGAAGAAUUCCAGUUUUCGUUUUUUUAGGAACUUAAACAUCCAAAAAUUCAAGAACUCCAAUUAAUUUCAUUCAUUUUCUCGGCGGCCAAAAGAAGCAAAAAUUAGAAAACCAAGAAUAGCGAGAAAUGAGAGCGAAUAUUACGUACAUACACCAAAGUCACGCCGGAGCUCUUGAAAAUCUCAAUGAUUUCCGACUUGGAAGGAUUCGAAACGGCGGAUUCUCUGACGAGAGCGAAGGUAGGGUGACCGGACUUAGCGCUGGCAGCGACGAUGAAUUUUCCGAUGUAGCCAGUGCCGCCGAUUAUGAGAAUCUUGCUCUUUUCGGACAUUGUGAGCUUUUCCGGCGAAUCUCCCGCGAGAAAUGUGGAAUUGAGAGGACUAAGCGAAAGGUGACUGGAGAGUUGGUGGGCACCAACGGCCAAAGACAAUGCUCUUGUAGGACAGAGCUCGAGGAUAUUAGGAUUAUGUAAUUACGGAACUAGCCUUGUGUUUUGGUGGUAAUCUCCGUUUUGGUUAUAUUUUGAAUGUGGCUUGAUUUUUAUGUGAUUCAUGAAUGUGUCAAAGUUCGCUUGUUUGAAAAUUGGUUUAGAUUGGAAAGUGAAAAAGUGUAUAUCACAUGAGAGAUUUAUAAAUAGAAAAAAAUGUAUUUUCACACACUAAUGUAAAAAUAAUUACAAAAUAAAAACUCUUUAAAUAAUUAUAAAAUAAAAACCCUUUAAAAAUAAUUUAAAUUUUAUGCACUCAUCGAGUACAUGAAAUGAUAAUUUAAUAUAGUUAUGUGUAACGACCCGCUCUCCCAAUAAUGACUCCCCUAGCUUUAAAAAAACGUCUUUAGGAUUAAGAUUGAUACUAUUUAUAAUAACUCGUAAAACCUAAAAAGGUCAUCACGACUUUAAAAUGCGUUUGCAAGAUUAAAAAAAAAUAAAAAAAAUUAUACUUAGAUAGUGUUAGGAACUUUCUCCCCUAUCUGAUGUGUGAUGUUACAAAUAUCCCCCAUGCAGACACAACAUCCUUGUUGUAUCUCAUGGAAUUGUGGAAUUAGAAUGAUAAUUUAAUGUAAUUAUGUGUAACGAUCCACCCUAUUUGAUGUGGGAUGUCACAAAUAUCCUCAUGCAGACACAACGUCUUUGUUGUAUCUCAUGGAAUUGUGGAGUUAAAAUGAUAAUUUAAUGUAGUUAUGUGUAAUGACUCGUUGUCCCAAUCAUGUAGAUAUUAUUCGUUUUGGACCCAAAAAAUGACUUUCCUGACUUUAAAAAAACGUCUAUGUGAUUAAGAUUGAUAUCGUUUAUAAUAACUCGCAGAACCUAAAAAGGUCCCCACGACUUUAAAAUGUGUUUACAAGAUUUUUAAAAAAAAUUAUACUUAUAUAGUGUUAGGAACUUUCUCUCCAUAUGAUGUGAGAUGUCACAAACAUCCCUAUGCAGACACAACGUCCUUAUUAUAUCUCAUGGAAUUAUGGAGUCAAAUAGACAAACACUCCCUAUGAGGCAAACAAACUCCCACACCGAAAUCAGAGAUCAAUUCCGAUAUUAUUUGUAACGAUCUACUCUCAAUUAUAUAAAUAUUGUCCAUUUUAAUCCGAAAGGGCAUUACAGUUUUAAAACGUGUGUACAGGAUUAAGAAAAGCCUUUACAUAUACAGUGUCAUGAUUUUUUUUUUCCUAUCGGAUGUGAGAUGUCAUAUUAUGAAUCCGUCAUUCUGUCUUUAUUCAUUUGUUGCAUUUAAGAUAUUUGAAAAAUUGAGCGAUUUUAUAAAAUGAGUUUUGAAAAGGCAUGAGAGAAGGAAAAAGAUACUAGUUUAAUUAAGGCUUACAACCCGGUCUUCUUAAAGGGUGGUUAAAUUCCCUGCCUAUUAAAUUUCUUAUCAGGUCGUUAGUCAAUGGAUCUAUUAAAUUCUAGUAUGACUUUGUAGAGUAGUAAUUACUCCAUGGGUGAGUAAUUAUUAAUAUGUAGCUGGGAUCAUUAGUAUAUUUUACUACAUUUCCAAUAGAAAAUGCUACCUCAAAUAAGUUACAUGUCUCCGCGAGACACUCAAGAAUUUCAGCAUAUUCCAAGACUUGACUUCCAAGUUAGCCAAAAGACAUGGAUAUGAGAUUUCAAUUGAAAUGAUUAAACCUUUUUAGAAUGUUUUCACUAUAAUUUCAUCGGCACAAAAAAAUAAUUAUAAAACACUAAAAUCUCUUUUAAAAACAUGUCUUUUAUUUUUAAAUUUAAACACUUACUCAUCAUUUUUAUUAGGAAUGAUAAUGAGACAAGUUUUUUUAGAUAUUUGUCUGCCUUGUUCUUAAUGAAAUGGGUUUAAAAUUUAAAUAAACGAAAUUAGAAUGAAUUUGGGAUUUUUUUAAAAACUUGGUACUAGCUAUUGUCUUUUCUCAUCCUAUCUAAAUUAUAUAUAAAAUUAAUUUAGUUUUAUUUUUAUUUCCCUAUUUGAUAUAUAUAUAUAAUUAUUUAUAAAAUACAUUUAUUUUAAUGUAAUUAAAUUUAAAAAAAUCAAAAUAAAUAAAUAAAUAAGACGAGAUGGGCAUGAAAAAUUCACAUACCUACCUUAUUUAAUUUUUUAAAUAAGAUAGAAAUGAGAAUUAUUUUGAAUAAACAAGAUAAGGUUGAAAUGAGAUCAACUCGUCUUAAACUAGUCUCGUUGCUAUCUCUAUUUUUUAUACUUUUUUAGUUGAAAGGGAUAAAUGAAUUAAAGUUAAGGAUUAAGAUUAAAUAUUCUACUUUACAAAAAAAAAAAUGAGACUAUUAAAUAUUAUUAGAAUUUUAUCAACUAGUCAUAAGAGUUUAAAAAAGAAAAUAUUGAUGAACAAUUCGUAGGAGGAAAUGAAUUGAGAAUAAAUUGACCUAGUGAACCUUCAGUUGCAUUGCCUCCUACUAUGUUCCACUUAUUCAGAAACGAAAGAGAAAGGAUGAGGGAUCUAUAACUAUAAGUUAAAAGGACAAAGGAUCAGGACAAAUAGAGGAUAUAUAUUAUGAGAUAUUAUUUCUAAUAGAAUAUGAUAUUUUAAAAUAUUGCAUUUAAUAUCAUUUAGAAAUUCUUCUCUUAUUUUUAUUUUAAUAAAUAAUUUUUAGUAUUUUAGUAAUAAUGUUUAUGAUUAUAAAUAAUAUAUAUAUAUAUAAAAUUAUAUUAUAUACUAAUAUGCUAAAUAUUUAAAAGCAUUACUAGUAAUUAAAUGAUACUAUAUAUUAAUAUGAUCAUUAUAAAUUUUAUUAUACAUAUAUUUUUUAAUUCUUUUAUUAAGAAGAAUAAAUUUAUAAUGUCAGUUAUACCUUAGGAUUGUUGUAUUUAACAUAUAGAGAUACAAAAGCGAGGAAAAAUGCAAAAGAAACUAUGAUUGAGUUAUUCUAUCAUUUACCGACCAAACAUGAUACAAAAUAUAUUAUCUCAUCUUUUAUCUUAUAUUAUAUUAUAUUCAACAAACUAAACAUAACAUAAUAGACCGACAUUCUAUCAAAUUUCUCGUAUUGUGAUUUUAAAACUUGAAUAGUUCAUGAACUAAACAUUAUUGCCUUUUCUUGUCUCAAUGGAAUAAGCGUUUUAAUUGUUCUAUAUGCAUUUCUUCAUCAAGCUCCCUCUUUUGAGCUAGAAAUAUUAUAUUAGGAGCUAGGUACUCCUUUUUGUAUAGCUCCAUCUCUAAUAAGGUACCAAAGAAGAUAAACUACAAAGGCAAAGAAAAUCUAAUUCCAGAAACUUCUACUUGCAUAAGAUUAGAAAGGCACAUUGUCCUAUUACAGAAUAUGCCCAAUGGCAUAGACAAGGAAAUAACCCACUAUUUUCCACACAACAUAUAUUAAGACAGCUGCACAUGUUUGCUUGUUUAGAUAGUGCAGCAUGACAGUGAAAACUACCAGGACCGAAGUCUACCUCUCAAACAAGCUGGUUGAGCAACUCAUCCACAGUUGUGUAUUUGACAUCGGGAUAUAGCUCUGAAGCCUCCACCCCAAAUGAUGGCUCGAUCUCAAAGUUGGUUUGGUCUCCCUUAAUGAAAACAGAGUGAUCGAUUGAUAAUAUUGCAUUGAGUGGAGCAGAGGCUUCUGCAAGAAACAGAGGAAAACCCAUCAAUAUGAAGAUUUUAGCCAUCAGAUCAACUAUAUAAACAGAUUUUGGGGCGAAAAUAGCCUCUAUAACUGAAAAAUUAUCAUAUGUGGAUACCUUCUUUAACUUAUUAUCAAGCUAGGCCUCUUCAUGUCACCUUGGAGUCAUUUAAUUUAAUUUUUUCCUUUUUAAAUGUAAGUUGAAAAUGCAUUUUGAAAAGAGUGUUUGGACACACGAGUCAAAAUAAUUAUCAAAUUGUAAAAAUAACCCUUUUUUCAAUUUUGUUGAGAGAUCCCAGCAGUCAAAAUAAUCAUAUAAUCAAACCCAGUCUUUUUCUUCCCAACCUUUUUUUUUUUGGCCUUAUCUUAAACUUGCUCUAUUUCUUUUUCAUUUAAGACACUCCAGAAAAACUCAAUCUCAUUUCAUAAUGUCCCACUGAAUUUUCUUAUCUCUCAAACAACUUCUCAUUCUCAUUCGUGAUGUUCACCUAAAGUGUUCUAUGAUUAAAUUUUAUUUAUUACGAAUUUAACUAAGGUGAAAUUUUCAUUAAGAUUGGUUAGCUGAAUUGCACUAGUGUUAUGUUUGGUUGUAAAAAACUUAGUUAGAGUUAAAUUUUCAAUCAUAAUAGUAAUAUGAACUCCACUAUGGUUAAGUUUUAUUUACAAAAAACUUAAGUGGGGUUAGAUUUCUAUUUCAUCUACAAAGAACCUGAUUAUGGUAACUUGAACAAUCCUCUGGUUAAGUUUCAUUUAGAAAGAACUUGAUCAGGGUUAAGUUUCCAUUUCACCUAUAAAGAACUUAAGUAAGAUCAAGGUCUUAAUUAAAAUGUUCAUUUGCAUUGAACUACCAAAACAUCGGACUUAGUAAAAACAAAGUUAGAUGAGAGAUCUAGUAAAUGAUAAGUUUCUAUCUGAUCUCGUCGUCAACAUUGUAGAAGUUCAAAUGAAAUUGCAAAAUAACCCUAAUAAAAAAAAAAUUAGAAAAAACCUCUAACCAAAAACAAUGACAAAAAACAAAACUAAAAACAAAGAGAAAGACGAGAUUCGAUCUCAUUUUCGUCACUAUAGAAACUUACAUGAAACUACAAAAAACCUUAGCAAAAAACAACGACGAAAAACAAAGAGAGAUGGAGAUCUGACCUCAUCUUCUAUAUUGUAGAAGUUCAAAUGAAGUUGCAAAACCCCUAACAAAAAACAACUCCUAAAAUUUGAAAUAGAUAAGGCUCUAAUCUUUGUUCAAGGGUUUGAACUUCACCAGAAAAAGAGAUAGAACAUGAACUUAGAGAGAAGGAGAAGGCUAGGUAUAAAAAAAUGGAAGGGGCAUUUUUGGAGGAAAGAAAGAAGAGUAAAAAUGUCCAAAAUUGGUCAUUUCUCAAAGGGAAGUCAUUAUUUCGAUUUUAAAAGCAUUUUAGUCGACUUCAAUCGAGGUCCGGGGCAUGAUCACCAGAUUUUACCAGCAGGUCAGCUAACAUUUUCUAAGUUAAAAACAAUUUAACCAAGAACCAAUUUCAUUUUAACAAUCUAGCAUAAAGAGAAUGUUCUAUUCACAAUCUCUGUUCCAAUUUAAAUUCACUAGGAAAACCAAAACUUGAACACUUCCAAAAAGGAAAAUGUUUCUCACUAACCUUGGAUGUUCUUCAGAACUUGCUCCUCUGGAACGUAUAUCUUCUCAAGGGUUUUUCCAAUCUUCUUCUCCCACAAGGAGACAAUUUCGUUGUAUGAGUAGGUGUUCUGAGGAGGCCUGACGUAAAGGUUUUUGUUCAAGGUUCUAGGAUCAUCCACAGCUUUAAUAGUAUAGGUGCCAAUGUCAUCCUCCUUGUUAAAAACAGCUGGAGAUGCAAAAGUGAAAAUGAGUAAGAUAGAAUAGAAUCACCUUCUUAUUCCUUCAAGCUUAGACUACUCUGUAAUUCCACCUUUUUUCUUUUACAAAACACAAACUUAAAAUUAUUUUCAUAUGAAACCAAGUUAUUGUUUUCAUUUAAUGCUUAUUUUUUCAAAAACUCUCAGUUGGAAAGCAAACCCCAGAGAACUGUUGAUAAAAAAAAGAGGCUUUAGCCCAUCCUGUUCAGUUUAAAACCCAAUAAUAAUUAUUAGUUACUGGAAAUGCAUAAUGGUUCCUUCAGUUCAACCCCUCCAGGUCACCUGGAUCAUGCUAGUUUCCUGGAUUAUGGCUCAACUGCAGUGUCACACCCAAGCAGUUGACCCCAGCUGUCCGGUUUUCAAAUAGCCACAUUUUGGUUUUCAGGAAUACAGACCAUUCUCACCUCAACAACACUGGCAACCCCAUCAAAUUUUCUGCUUGGAGAAGAUAAUAUGCAGCUAGUGGUUGAUGAAUGCACAUUCAAAUAACCCAUUGAUUAGUAUUACCUUUUAAGCCCACUAUCAUCAGAUGUCAUUGAUCAUGGGAGCGAGUGCAUUCUAAGGUCAAAAGAAGAAAAUGAAACAGAAUUUCAGUUGUUUUACGAUUUUCAGAGGUUGCUUACCUUUUGGAUUACCAUCUCCUGGAAUAAUAAUUUUAUCCCUGGGGGGACCAGUGGCUCCAGGCUGUGAUAAUCUAGAAACGAAAAAGGCAGCGGUGGCUUCAAGCUGUGAUAAUCUAGGAAGGAAAAAGCCAGCAAAGAAGUUGGAGGACACGUAGGUGUAGGGAAUCCCUUCAGCCUCAAUAGCGCGGCGGAUUUGAGCCUUUAUCCCAAAUGCUGUUUUUGCAGGGCCAACCGCAUGGAUACGGUCCACAUCAUUUCCAAACUCUGAUGGGAAGAAUCUCUGGAGGAAAUAAAGCACUUUGAGAAGAAGUCAUAUGACUUGAUAGAUGAAAAACCACUCAUAUCUAUUUAGUCAUAAUAGCUCACAGACAGGGAUCAUCCAUGGGAUACACUAUGAUGAACUUGAUACAAGUGUUCAGCAAGAAUAAAGUUACACUUAGCAAUUCAAAUGAUGGAAGGAAGAAGUGCACCGAUCAGGAUGCUUAAAAAGUGAGAGAAAAAACUAAAUGGAGAAGGUGAAGAAAAAAGCUACCAAACUUCAUUCAUGAAAGGAAAAAGUGCACCAAUCAGGAUGCUUAAAAAGUGGAAGAAAAAACUAAAAGAAAAAAGGUAAAAAAAAAAAAAAAAAAAACCCACCAAACCUCAUUCUGUCCUGAAUCACUUCAGUUUUAAUUUUUAAUUUUUAAUUAUUUAAUUAGUGCUCAAAACAUUUGACACUAUUAAAUUAGUCAUUUGACAUAAUGUAUAUGAUGUUAUCCAAUACCCUAUGUUUGUUGCAUAAGUAUAGUCUCCUUACACAUGGGUUCAAUAAAUUGAGAAAAUGAAUAAACGGUGAAGUUUGAACAAAUGAUUUCCAACCAAAAAAAGGAUCUUAUGCCAUGUUGGACAACCGAUUUACCUAAAACUUAAGUUGUUAGGAUUUAAGCCCACGGUGUAUAUCAUGUUGCCCAUCAGUAUCUAUAUCCAACGAAAGGUCAAGAACCUCCUUGAAACGAUCCUAUUCUAACUUGCCCCUAGCUGCCAAACCCUCAAGGGCAUUAGCCUAAGGGCACAAAGUCAAUAUAGCUCAAGAACCUUCCUGAGAUGUUCCUAUUCCAGCUGACCCUAGCGGCUAGAUCUUCAAGGGCAUUAGCCUAAGGGUGCAAAGUAAAAACCAAGUUUGAGAACCUCCUUGAAAGGACCCGAUUAUAAUUGGUCCCUGGCAGCUAGGCCUUCAGGGACAGAGCAUAUGAGUGUAAAGCCAUUCCAGGACAAGAACCUCCUUAGAAGGACCCCAUCACAAUAGACCCCUAUUGGAGCCUAAGAACAAAAAAUGAAUAAUCAUAUGAAGAAAUAAUAAAACAAAGCAUAAAAGAUAGAAGAGAAGAUAAAAAUAACAAUAUCCUAUGCCACCUCAUUGUCCCCUCCUUCCUUGGAUGAUGCCUCGCUUUUAUCAUUGUCCUCCUCAUCGAUUUCCCCCAAGGCCUUCAUUCGACCCAUGAGCUUGUCGACUUUCAAAAAAUGCUCUUGCAUUAUUGAACCUUAUGAAUAAAAUUAUCUUUUACCACUGUCCACAAAUGAUUUUUUUUUUAAAAGAAUGGCUUUGUCUUAGAGUUCUAUCCUUUUCUUUCUGUUUCUCAUGGAUAAAAAAAACCCCAACCCAAAUAUUUUUUUAUAACAAGGAUAAUUUUUUAUACCUAAAGAAUUAAAAUCGACUUUCAAACACCUAAGCGUUGAGACUCAACUCAAUCCAACCUCAGUCAAUUAACAUGGAUCCAGCAAGAAAAGAUUGUUCAUCCUCAAUGAAUAUUGUGAAGAUGGAAUGUUCUUCCAUGCCUUUUCAACACUCUCAACAUUUCUAAAGAUGGUAUUACUACAUCAUGCGCAAAGGAUAAAGGAAUUACCGACAAAUUAUUACAAAUUCCAAUAAUAAAAAUCAUAGGAACUUGUAUUUGCAAAGAAGAGAUGGAAAUAGAAAGAAGAAAAGGAGAGGAAGAGAUUUCGUCAAUUUGGACGACUUUACCUUGACAUUUCCAGCUUCUUUGAUGGCGGCAAUGAUCUUGACUUGAUCCGAGAACUGUGCGCGACCAACGGUCGAGAUGACCACAUCCACUUGCUUAAUCGCCUUCACCAAACUCUCGUGAUCGUGUAGAUCUCCCUGCAACAUAACAGAACCAAUCAAAAAACUAUUUCAAAGCUGUAAUUCUUCAAUAAGAAGUAAGAAUUCAAAAAUUGGUGUGUGUUUCCACUUUGCUGGAACCAAAGCAAAUCAAAACAUAAACAUCCAAAAUUUUCUUUUCUUUUCCUGCGAAACACUACUUUUUCUUUCUUUCUGGAUGAGUGAAGAGUCUCAGUUUUCUUUUUCUUAGGAACUUAAACUUCCAACUCCAAUGAACUUCGUUCAUUUUCUCCGCGGCCAAAAGAAACAAAAACUAGAAAAGAAAAAAUGGCGAGAAAUGAGAGCGAACAGUACGUACAUAUACCAAAGUCACGCCGGAACUCUUGAAACUCUCAAUGAUUUCCGACAUGGAAGGAUUCGAAACGGUGGAUUCUCUGACGAGAGCGAAGGUAGGGUGACCGGACCUAGCGCUGGCAGCGACGAUGAAUUUUCCGAUGUAUCCAGUGCCGCCGAUGAUGAGAAUCUUGCUCUUUUCGGACAUUGUGAGUUUUUCCGACCAAUCUCCGGCAAGAAAUGUGGAAUUGGAAAAGGCUAGCAAGCAGUAAGCAAUGACGACUGACGAGUAGUGCAGUACUGCAGUGUUCUUAUAUAACAAAGCUUGAGGCUAUAUAGAUUAUGUAAUUACGAAACUAGCCUUUUCUUUCAGCAGUAAUUCCCGCUUUGGUCAUCAUAUGUAUGUGGCUCGAUCUUUGUAUGAUUCACGUGUCCCGAUUCAUAUUUGUUUGAAAAUCGGCUUAGAUUAGUCCAAUUUACAAGACUACACCAUCUUUAAUUUGACAAGAGCAUAUAAUAUAUAUAUAUAUUGUAGCAAUCAUUAAUAUUUUAUUUUAUUUUUGGCACGUGUAAUUUUAUCUCUAGCUCCCAUAUCUUAUUUUAUUGCACACUUUUGACUCCGUUUGGCCAUAUUGAUAUAUAUCAUAGAUUUGCCUUAGAUUUUGGUUAAUAAAAUUUUAAUCAUUAUUGCACGUUUUUAUUCUCCACCCAUGUUUAAUAGUAUAUUUUAGAGACUUAUCGUGGAUAACCACCCCUUCACCUCUCCUACUGAAUUGUCAUUUGAUAUUGCUUGGGGAUCCCACAGAGUUGUCUAGUUGAUAGGUUGAUAAAAUUUACAUGCACGGUCAUUUUCAUGUCCUUAAAGCAAAUACAAAUUAAAAUGUGAUCGAUUGAUGCUAAGAUUUGAAUUUAUCUAUUUAAUAUAAAAUUGUCAUGGUCAAAUGUUUAUUGCUACUCCACGAUAGAAUGAUGAUUUUUAUUUUUGUGACAGUAACAUUUCAAAUUAUAAAAAACAAUGAAUUAAACAAUAUUUUUAUAUUCUUUACAAAAUCUUGGAUGUUUAAAAUUAGACCCUUUAAAUAGACACGUGACUUAAAUGGAAUACCAUAUUUGGGAAUGCACUACACUUAACUUGGAUUGGAAUAUAAUUCAAAAUGGAUAACAAUUAGGAAUGCACCAUGCUUAUUUGGAAUUAAGGGAGAGAGGGAUGACUGUUGGAAUCAUGAAAUGUUAUGGAACGGACCCCUUUUUAAAGAUGUAGAUGUCCCUUAAAGAAACGCUUCCAUCAAAAGAGUUGCACCUAACUAAUAAGAGAUGGGAAUGACUUCCAAAAAAUGUAUCACUUCAUGUUGGUGGCCUUUUUAUUAAACCUAGAAGCAUGUGGGGUUAGGCUCACACAUAUCUGGUGUGGCUUGUGCACAUGUGAGCCUAUGUUAGGCCCAAGUCCACAUUCAUCUAGUUGGAUAUAUGCAUAUGUGAGUUUAUGUAAAAACCCAUGUUUUCUUUUAAGCUUACAAAAUACUUGUAAAGUACCUUUUCGACUAGUGAUCUUCUAAGAAACGCUUCCAUCAAAAGAGUUGCACCUAUCUAAUAAGAAAUGGAAAAGGCGUCUAAAGAAGAUCUCACUUUAUGUUGUUGGUGACCUUUUUUCAAUGUUUUUAAAAUUGGACCGAUUAUUAAAUAUAAAAAAAUUACUCAUUCACGGUUCAUUAAUCGGACUGACAGUUGAACCAGUAACGUCAUAAAUAUAUAAUUUAUAAAUUAUUAAAAUAAAAAUAAAAAUGUAUGUAUUGUUUAAAAAUUAAAAUUUUAUUUGAAAAUCAGAAAAUUAGUUUUAAAAUUAAAAUUAAAAUUAAAAUCAUGGGGGGGAGGGGGAGGGGAGGGGGUUCGUUCUGCCAGUGAGAGAGCGACGUCCGACCAAUCAGCAAUUGACGAUAGUGGGAAGAAGCAGCUAGGGUAGUAGGGUAAGAGGGGUUAUUGGAAAAAAUAAUAAUAAUAAAAGAAAGGUUGAACGGUUCAAUGGUCAAAUCGUCGGUUCAAUCGGUCUAAUUCUGGUUUGACUACUUUUCGACCUAAUUCAUCAAACCAAACCGAAAUUGUGACUUGCUGGUUCGAUCCAAUUUUUAAAACCGUGUAUUUUUAUUAAACCUAAAAGGUGGGUGUAGGAUCACACCUAUCCAAUGUGGCUUGUGCACACGUGAGCCUAUGUUACGCCCAUGUACACAUUCAUCCAAUUAGGUCCAUGCAUAUGUGAGUUGAGGUUAAAAACCAUGUUUUCUUUUUACCUUACAAAAUACUUAUAAAGUACUUUUUCUGACUACUAAUCUUCUAAUGUGGGAUUGCUUUUUUCCACCACAUUCCACAUGAAUGCAUAGGUAACUUUGAGCUCAAUUUGUCAUUAACCCAUAAAUGGUUUUGAGUAUGUAAAUUUCUUAUCCACCAAUACCUACUCGUGCAGACGUUAUUGGUUAUCAUUUGGAGAAAGGUGUCCAACCUAUUGAUUGUUGUAAUUUAGAUUGUCCCAAUUCUAAUAGUUGUGGUUUUAAGGCCUAGAAUUGUUUCGUUGAUUCUCAUCUUAACCCUUCUCUUUAUUCAAUGACUUCCCUUGAAAGUAUUAUUUGAUGAUCUCCUAUCAGGGGGUUGGUCUCUUUCUUAUCUUCUCUUCUUUUUAAAUAGUCCAUUACCUUAUCAUGCAAUUCUUUAAAUGAGAUAGCAGUAUCACAAGCUCUCACAACAACAGUGGUCUCUUUGUAUUUUGAACCUAAUUCAUUGAGAGUGUAAACCACCAGAUCAUCAUUGUGCAAGAGUGAACUAAUAAUAGUAAGUUCAUCAACAAUACUUUCGAAGAUUUGGAUGUAUUCACUAAUAGUUUUUUGUUCUUUGAUCGUUUUUAUAGCCUUUCCCAUGAGGUUAGGAUGCAUGACCUUGAGUAAUUGGCAUUAAGUUUUUUUGGGUGAGACCAUGACUCUAAUGCCUUAGUAGCACAAACCACAAAACAAAAAUAGACUCCAAACUACAAUCUAACAUGAGAUGAAAUAACAAAUUAUUUUAAGGUUAAUUUUGUUGACUUUCCAUGAGGUUUUGACUAAAUAUAUUUAGUUCAUAUUAGUUUGAAAUUUCAUCAAAUACCUCCUCUACCCUUCUCACAAAUUAUUUCACUUACCUGUCUUCUAACUCAAAAUAAAGGAAGUAUUUGACGAUAUUUUAAAUUUAUAAAAACUAGGUAUAUUUAACCAAAACUUGAGGGAAAGUAAGUGAAAUUAACCUAAUUAUCUUACUUUUAAUAUAGCCAAUAUUCCAUAUCUCGUAUUGGUACUUUCCUUCUCCUUUCAAAUUGUUGUAGAAGGGCAAAGAUAUGACCGUUGUUACAUGUGCUAAAUCAUAGUAGUAUAUAAAGAAGCAUGCGGAACUAAACUCUUCACAAUGGAAAGUUUUUAAUCGUAGUUACAUCACUACAUCAAUCAACUCUGUGGUGCUAAUUUGGUAAAAUGUCAAAAGACUUUGACCCAUUAAAGGUAAAAAAGAAUAAAAAUAAAAAUUUGUUGUAGCAAUGGAUACUCUAAAACCAUAAAUACAAAGAAUUUAUAUAACCUAUCACUCGUAUUAUUUUACAUUGUAUAAGUUUACAAUAGAAAUGAUCGACUAAAUAUACAUUGGUAAUAUUAUAGCUUAGGGUCAAAUGUCAUGCGUUAUGAAUGUAAAGAAAAAUUGAACUUGAUGAUUUGGUUGAGCCUUUAUUUGCCAUUAAUAUAUGCCUUUAUGGACUGUCCACUGUAAAUUCCUUUCACUCCUCUCAUUGAAGAAUGAAACUCCACACUUUAUUCAAGUUUAAAAUGUUUUCUUGCAUAUUAAGGAGGAAAUUAAAAAAUAAAUAAAUAAAUAAAGGAAAGGAAAAUGAUCCGUUAAAAAACUAUAUUAUGAAUGUUAGAUAUCUUAAAAAACAAAAAAAUAUAUAUUUGUAGACCCCAUUUUGGGGAGCUGUCAUUUUUCUCACGUUUCCUUUCUUGCAGCUAGCUGUGGCCAAGUGUCACCAUCUUGCAUGGCCACGUGUCACUCCCGGAUUAGUCAAUAUGGGAUCAAAAUAGUGGAAUUGAUGGACCCAUCAGAGGAAGACACCUGGAAAGUGAAGAACAUUCUGGAAUCAGGGGAGCGUAUCUUCUGUUAUGGGAAGGUUGCCAGCUGCAGGAGUAGAGGAGUGGAGGCUGGUUGCUGCAGAGAGAGUGGAGGCUGGCAGAGGAGUGGAGGAGAGGUUUUGCUUUUGAAAAGGCCGUUAGAGAUAUUUUUAGGAUGAGGCAGCGGCAUUGAAGGGGAGAGUUUGGAGAGAUUCUUGAGGAGCAAGCUAGAUAUUGAAAAGAGAGAACGAGACAGAGAGAGCUGCAUUGAGAGGGAGGGAUUUCUUUUAAGCUGAGGCUGGUUGCUGCAGAGAGAGUGGAGGCUGGCAGAGGAGUUUUGGAGAGAAAGAGAAGGGUUUUUGGAGAGAAAGAGAAGGGGUUUUGGAGAGAAAGAGAAGGGUUUUUGGAGAGAAAGAGAAGGAGUUUUGGAGGGAACAGAGAGCUAGAGGGGGAGGAAAAACACUAGGAAGAAAAACAGAGAAAUCAGAAGAGACGGUUUUGGGUAGAGGAGGUUAUCAAGAACCAGAAGAAAAGGGCCUCCAGGUUCUUUUUGAGGGGUAAGUUUUCCACUGUGUUCUUGUUCUUUCUUUUUCUCUUCAUAUAUUGUUGUUGAGAUGCAUUGUUGUUGAUCUUUGGAUGGGUUAUACUCUGUUCUUCAUGGUUGACUGCUCCCCUUUUGCUUCUGUUUAUGGCUGAAAAUUGAUUUAAAUCCAUUUUUACCUUCUUUGUGGCAUUUUAAAGAAAGAAAAAGACCUUUUAAUUCACCCAUCUGCAAACCCACUAAUGAAGAGGUGAAGCAUAGUUCUUCAUGCUUCAUCUCAUUUUUCUUCCUCCAUGGCUCUGUUUUUGCUACUUUUCUCUCUGCUCUUCGUGUUUGGACUUUCUUGGAUAUGAAGCCGUAAUGGGGAGUGAGGCUAUGGGAUGACGAGACAGUGAGGGAUUUGGACUCCUUGAAUCCGUUUAUCCUGUAAAGGCUACUAAGGGCUUGGUAGAUCAAUGUUUGAGCAUAUGAACAGAGAGUGGUCUACACCGGGGAUACCAUUAUUGCCAGUGAUCCGUGUGGCAGAGGUUAGUGGGCUGUAGAGAGGGGAUCCUUUCUGACGGAGCAAAGGAACAAGAGAUGAAUUCAUGGGUUUUCUGAAUUGUUUUCACUAAGAAGGAGUUCACCCAGUACUCUUAGGCCUAAGAAGCUCGGCAUUUCUUUGCAAACAUAAGAAGCACAGGCUGGAACUAUGGAGGCCAUAGGUUUUACAUGGUAAAAAAGUGGGUUGACUGAGGAAUUGAGAAAGAAAUAAAGCAAGCAAAGCCGUCAUCGAAUGACGCCGGCGGCGAAGCGCCUCCACUUUGACUACGUCGUGCCCUCAGUUAUCGACUCUAACCACCGCUUCUCUAGUCUACGCGUGUCGCCGGAAGACUUGACGCUGAUCGUUUCUCUGCCUCUCUUUAUUUUCGGCUCUGUCAGGGGUCGAAACUCAUCCUCCGCUGGCGAUUGCGACGAGUGUCUCUCCUAGCUUAAGCCUCACGAUCAGCUUCGGCUGUUCCUGAUCUGCCGUCACGCUUCCCAUGCUCUAUACAUCAACACGCUGCUGGCAUCCAGUCAGGCAUGUCCUUGUAUCGUGUUCCGCAGGGAAUUCUGGGCCUGAUCUGCUCACUGUGGUGAGUGUCGCGCCAUGGAUUUUAACUGAUGGUGUCCCGACGAUUGACAAGAAGUUUUCCGGUGGAUGUGGUUCUUGGCGACGGAAGAAUCUUCGGUGGUGUGUCUAUGUACUUCGGCGAUCCUCUAAAGGACACUAAUCUCCCCAUUAGUUUACGCUGGUGACUGUGGAAGCAGAUUCCGCUUCAUCGGAAAACCCAAUCCUUCUCAAGUGCCUGGAAAAGCAGUCAUUUGUGAUCGGAACUUCACCUCGGCGCCCAAAGUCGCAGCGUUCUCCAACUGGUUUAGACAUCGACGAGAGACAAGUUGAUUUUAAUAUAAUUUCUGGCACGUCCAUUGCAUGUCCGUACGUGAGUGGAAAUAGCGACUGUGGCAGUGUACCCAAACGGCUUCACCACUCUCAAGCAUGAUGCUCUGAGAGUUGAAUUGAAAUGGAGGGGCGUUCUCAUAUUGCAAUUGUUGUUCCUAGAACUGAUGAGUCAAUCAGUAAAUUGGUUCAGCAACCUCAGAAGUUAAUAGAUCUCCGUGAGGUUCGCGAUAUUACUCAUAUGCCAUUUGCAGAAAGAGAUGACUGAAGGGAAACGGGUUCCUCUGAAUAUUACUAAAUUUGAUUAUGAAUGUUUGAGAAAGACCGCUGACAGUCAAGCAUAUUAAGGGGAUCCAUAUAAAGAAUUGUGGGUGUCCUUUGUUGACCGAGUUGGUCUUAGUCACAGAUAUCCUCAUCCAUGGCUGCUGAUAUAUCUCCUAAUUCUUCUUGAUGCUGCGGAAGAUAUUGUUGAAAUAGGAAAAACUGGGUGGAGAGAUCAAUUGUUACUCUGAUUUGAUUUUGGAUUGAAAAGGGAUGGGUUCAUUCAUGGAGCAUGUUCUGCCAGGAACGCUGUUUCUAGCAGUGAGUUUGUGGCACAUAUGCAGCGCAGUGGUGAGAUUUGUGAUGAACCCAAAGGGGUUUCAGGUUCGGGUUUUGAACCCAGUGUCUGGUUUUGAUGGAAGGCUUAGAUACUUGGAGCUUUAUGUGGUGGCAAUCGGAGCUUUUAUUGAUAUGUGCAUAGAGUUUUUGUAUUCAACUCAUCUCAAGUUCUUUGUGAAUGGGGUCUUGAACCCAUCUCACACGAAUGACUUUGAGCACUCUGGGAUGCUUCUCAUGUUCUUUAUUUUCGGGGUCGUCGCCUUGUUCUCCCAGCAAACCGGGCUUGUUCAAAACUGAAUAACCAAUGCUCAAUAGCCUUCACAUAGCUCCAUUCUGCCCUCACAUACUUCCAGCGCGUGACUUGUUUGAAUGAGAGCGACUUUUAUUGCCAAACAGUUACUUGGGGAACCGGUGACGUUACUCCUAUUGCAGGAUUGCUUGGCAAAUCUCAAUUCCAGAUUCACUUAGGAGGGAUCCUUGGCUGCUAAUUGGAAGGCUUCAAGACAGAAGGAAGCGAAGAGUGAUGAUACCAGGGAAGUGACUCAAUUAUCUACUCUACACUUGCCCGCUCAUGGCCCCAAAAUCUCAGAAGUGGUCAAGAAGUUGGAAGACUGCAUGUUCUGAAAUUGACCUAGCCUUUCAAAUCGGGUUCCCUACAUUGAAAUAAGAAGCAGUAGCAUGAGUUAUCCUCCAGAAUGGCUCUAUUCUCUGCAUGGUGCAUGGCCACCUUUGGGCCACAGUGCCAUUUCCCAUUUCACCAUCUCUAAUUUUGAAAAAUAUUCUUUUAAAUCCCAUUCUUCAAAUAAUUUUCUAGAUUUUAGUUUGUUUUAAAAUAAUUUCAAACUCGUCCACUUUUCAUCUUUAGUUUCUUUUUCUUAGAUUCCAAAAAUCCAUUUUUCCAAUAAAAUUUUGCUACCACUUUUCUUCCUAGCAAGCCAUUUUCAUAUCUCUUCUGUUUUUUUUAAAUUGUUUUGAAAUAAGCAAGAAUUAAUUCCGUAAUUCCGAAUAAUGGAAUUUAUGGAAUUAAUUCAUGCUAAGAUAAAUGGGCUUUGGUGGGGGCCCAACAUAUGAGAUUUUAUGAUUGAUUGACUGAUUGAUUGAUUCAUUAGCUAUAUGUGAUUGAUUUAUUCUGUUCCUUGGUAUACACAUUAUCCUUCUGUGUUUGUUCACUAACCCUGUUUCUGAUAGCACGUUACGGCUCGUGGCCCCGGUACGCACUCUCUAUACCUAUUCUGUUUCUCAUAUGUGCAUAAUUGAUUCGAGUAUUCAUUGCUUUCCUCAUCAAUUGCCACAUCAGCUUCAUUUUAUUAGUAGAGACCCGAUUUUAGGGACUUAGAGGGGUGCUAUGGUCUUUACCGUACCUUCCCGAUAAGUAACCUGACCCCCGAACCCGAUCCGGUUUUUCGUAGAUCACCUUUUCCAAAUAAGGAGUCACACUUAGGGUUUUUCUUUCUUAUUUUGUUUACCCUUUUAAAAAUAAAACAAAAAUACAGCUAAAAUCGAGCUCGCCAUUGAGUGGGAAACGCAUUGAGAUAGAUCGAAAUGCGGGGUCCACAACGCGUUCUUUUAUUCUCUUUAGUUUUAUAAAAAAGAUGGUAAAAAUGUAGUGAUCUUCUUUUAGUUUCUGUUUUAUAAGUGAGAGGGGACUAAGAUAGUAUUUAUUUUUUGACUGAAUAUAAAAAAUCAAAAUAUAUACAAAUUUACUUUAAUUAUAUUGGACGAUGUUAAUAGGUUACUUUUAGCUAAAUAAAAAAAAAAUCAAAACCUUAGAAAAAUAUUUUAAGUUUUAUUUACUCAAAUCAAUGUUUCCAAAAAUAUCCUUAUUGUCAAAACUGACUUAAAUGAAAAAUAAAUAAAAAAAUAUAAGCAAAAAACAAUUUAAUAGUUUUUAAAAAUAUUAUUAAAUCAUCAUUUGGUUCCCUUUUAUUCUGUCACUUUAAUUCUUUAAAACUAAAUUUAAUUCUUUUAUAACAAUAGAACAUAGGGGCCUAAGGUUGGAAAAUGACAAUUUACCCUAUUUGAAAAAAGAAAAAUUAUAUAUUCAUUUCUAGCCAAAAACAACUUUAUAUGUAAUUGUCAUUUUUUAUCAACCCCCACCGCUGAUGCAAAAGCCUUAACCUUGAAUGGAAUUUUAAUUUCAAAGACAUUUAGCACAUAGGAUAAAAAUUGUGCAUUUCAAUGAUCAAAGCUUCAUAUCUUAAAAGGUAGGUAAAUUUUAAAAUUCAACUAAGUUAUGUCUUCAAAAGACAAUAUUUAAUUGGAUUCUUUCGAGGUGUCAUAGAAUUAGAAAUAUUUUUUGAAUUAUUAUAUUUUAAAAAAUAUAUUUUUUUAAAUUGCCUUACUUUGUUCAAAAUGCCAAGAAGCAGGCAUAGGAACUAUAACAAAGCUCCAUCUCUAUUAGGGUACCAGAGAGGAUGAAUUGAAAAGGCUAGGAAAAUCUAAUUCCAGAAACUUCUACUUGCAUAAGAUACAGAGUGACUACAGAAUAUGCUCAAUGGCAUAGACAAGGAGGCCACACAUGCUUGCUUAUUUAGAUGGUGCAACAUGACAAUGAAAACUAGCAGGACCAGAAAUUACCUCUCACACAAACUGGUCAAGGUACUCAUCCACAGUUGUGUAUUUGACAUCGGGAUAUAGCUCUGAAGCCUCCACUCCAAAUGAUGGCUUGAUCUCAAAGUUGGUGUGGUCUCCCUUAAUGAAAACAGAGUGACUGAUAGAUAAUAUCACAUUGAGUGGAAAAGAGGCUUCUGCAAGAAACACAGGAAAAGCCAUUAAUUUGAAGAUAUUUGUCAUCAUUAAGAUUAUGUUUGGUUUCCAAAAAAUUUGAGGGAAAAUGCAAGAAAAGAAAAUAGAGAGGAAAAGUGGAAAGAAAAAAAAAGAAAAAAAAUAAAAAAAAUGGAUUCAAAAUCAAUAAAUUAUUUUUAAAUGCUAUUUCAAACUCAUUUCACCCAUUUCCCCCUAUUAUAUAAAGAUUAAACAAUUUUAAAAUGUAUAAAUUUUUAAUUAAUUUUAAUUAUAAUUUAUUUUCUUUCAUAUUUUCUAUAAUGAAACCAAGCAUGAGAAAACUAUUUUCUUUAAUAUUUUUUUUAUUUCCUUAAUACUUUCCGAGAGCCAAACAUAGUCUAAAAGAUCAACUAUAUAAACAGGGGCCAAAAAAUGGCCUCAAUGGUAAAAAAAUUAUCCUAUGUAGGAACCUUCCCAAACUUAUUUUUCAAACUAGAACUCUUGAUGCCAUCUACGCCCCAUUUUUAUUUUAUUUUUUUCCUUUUUAGUCAUAAGUUGAAAAUGCAUUUCUGAUUUUAUAAAGAAGUCAAAUUUUGAGCAAUGGUUUGAAACAUGACCCAAACUCAAUAUUAUUUGACCAAAACAGGCCUUUUUUUUAUCCAAAAUUCAUAUAAACACGUAAUGCUUGCAAGUUCAACCAACUCCUCUUUCUUUCUUUUCUUUUAUUCCCUUCAUUUUUCAAAUCCAUUGAGCAACUGCAAAUUGUUAGUCUGUCAUAUGAAUCUCUAAGGAAGACCCUAAUUGAGGUCUGGGGCACGAUCAAAUGAUUUUACCAGCAGGCCACCUAAUAUUUUCUAAGUUAAAACAAUUGAAUCAAGAACCAAUUUCAUUUUAACAAGGUAGCAUAACGAGAAUGUUUCAUUCCCAAUCUCUAUUCCAAUUUAAAUUAACUAGGAAAACCAAAGUAUGAACACUUUUAAAAAAAGAAAAUAUUUCUCACUAACCUUGGAUGUUCUUCAGAACUUGCUCCUCUGGAACAUAAAUCUUCUCAAGGGUUUUUCCAAUCUUCUUUUCCCAUAAGGAGAGAAUUUCGUUGAAUGAGUAGGUGUUCUGAGGAGGCCUGAUGUAAAGGAUUUUGUUCAAGGCUCUAGGAUCAUCCGCAGCUUUAAUAGUAUAGGUGCCAAUGUCAUCCUCCUUGUUAAAAACAGCUGGAGAUGCAAAAAUGAAAUGAGUAAAAUAAAGUAGAAUCAUCUUCUCAUUCCUUCAAGCUUGGACUACUUGGAAAUUCCACUUUUUUUGUUUGAAGAACACAAACUUGAAAUUAUUUUGAUGUGAAACCAAGUUAUUCUUUUUCAUUUAAUGCUUAUGUCAAAAACUCUCAGCUGGAAAGCAACCCAAGAGGACUGUCAAUAUAAAAAAGAGGCUUUAGCCCAUCCAGUUCAGUUUAAAAUCAAAUAAUAAUGAUUAAUUACUAAAAAUGCAUAAUGGUCCCUUCAGUUCAACCACUCCAGGCCACAUGGAUCAUGCUAGUUUCCUGGAUUAUGGCUCACUUGUAAUGUAGCACCCAAGCAGUUGACCUCAACUGUUGGAAGGUUUUGUUUCUGGGUGAACAGGUUUAACCAGCUGGGGAAGGGGGGAGUGGAGAGGGGUUGUCCAGGUUUCAAAUAGCCACAUUCUGAUUUUCAGGAAUACGGACCAUUCUCACCUCAACAACACUGGCAAACCCAUCAAUUUUUCUGCCUGGAGAAGAUAAUAUGCAGCUAUUGGUUGGUGAAAUGGUAAAUUAACACUCUCAAAAGGAUCCCAUGCUCAUUUACAUAACCCACUGAUUAGUAUUACUUUUUAAGCCCACUAUCAUCAGAUGUCACUGAUUAUAUGAGCCAGUGCAUUCUAACAUCAAAAGGAGAAAAUGCAAUGGGAAAUUCAGUUGUUGGAUGAUUUUCAGAGGUUGCUUACCUUUUGGAUUCCCAUCUCCCAAAAUAAUAACUUUAUCCCUGGGGGGAGCGGUGGCUCCAGGCUGUGAUAAUGUAG